rnacentral:rRNA from 1 species
GACGAACGCUGGCGGCGUGCCUAACACAUGCAAGUCGAACGGGACUCAGCCCUUCGGGACUGAGUUUAGUGGCGAACGGGUGAGUAACGCGUGAGGAACCUGCCUUUCAGUGGGGGACAACAGUUGGAAACGACUGCUAAUACCGCAUAAUACUUUUGAGCGGCAUCGUUUGAAAGUCAAAGAUUUAUUGCUGAAAGAUGGCCUCGCGUCUGAUUAGCUGGUUGGUGAGGUAACGGCCCACCAAGGCGACGAUCAGUAGCCGGUCUGAGAGGAUGAACGGCCACAUUGGGACUGAGAUACGGCCCAGACUCCUACGGGAGGCAGCAGUGGGGAAUAUUGGGCAAUGGGGGAAACCCUGACCCAGCAACGCCGCGUGAAGGAAGAAGGCCUUCGGGUUGUAAAUUCUUUUACCAGGGACGAAAAAGAUGACGGUACCUGGAG